CUGUUGAAAGACAGAGUUCCCUCGGGACGAGGAGACAGGUGGUGCAUGGUUGUCGUCAGCUCGUGUCGUGAGAUGUUGGGUUAAGUCCCGCAACGAGCGCAACCCUUGUCCUUAGUUGCCAGCGCGUAAUGGCGGGAACUCUAAGGAGACUGCCGGUGACAACCGGAGGAAGGUGGGGAUGACGUCAAGUCAUCAUGGCCCUUACGGCCUGGGCUACACACGUGCUACAAUGGCCGGUACAGAGGGUUGCCAACCCGCGAGGGGGAGCUAAUCCCAGAAAACCGGUCGUAGUCCGGAUCGGAGUCUGCAACUCGACUCCGUGAAGUCGGAAUCGCUAGUAAUCGCGAAUCAGAAUGUCGCGGUGAAUACGUUCCCGGGCCUU
rnacentral:rRNA from 1 species